UGGUAAGCCACGCCCUCAAAUGUGAAUCUCAAGAAUCAUCUGAGAUGGGGGCUAUCUGGAUGUGAAAGUGAGCAUAUUUCAGGUCUAGUGAGAAGAACCAGUCCUUGGUGCAAAUCUGUGAGGAUCUGUUUCUAUGUCAACAUCCUAAACUUCCGUCUCAUGAGGAAGCGGGUCAGGAGUCUAAGGUCUAAGAUGGAUCUGAGACAACCAUCUUUCUUGGGGACAAAGAAAUAACGUCUAUUUCUAUGGCUCCCUUUUGGAAAAGCUUGGCAUCCAUCCCAGCUCUUGUGUCGACGAGCUCAAGUGAUGGCAUGUGGGCGGGGUCAGAAUCACUGGGAAGCCGUGAGAGACACUGAGUCAUCAAGUGGCUCGUCCUGUGAUCCGCCAAAAGAGGCGAGGUCGCUUGCUUCAGCCAAGGGGCACUGCUCUGGGCGUGAGAAGAGGACAGGGAACGGAUCUCUCAUAGGAGAGGGUGAGGCACGUGGGUGUUGGGCCGGCGUGAGCUCACCAAAAUCUGGGUGCUGAGCCCCUCUACCCCACUGUCUUUUCCUGGCUGGCUCACGGGAGGAAGAUGAUGGGGGGGCAUGAGGGGCGGGAGCGUUUUCAUUAAAUAAGGCAAAAGACGCACUCACCGUGGCAGUCAUCUUCAUGCAGAGUGGGAGAUCCGCUGAAAAGCAGCCGGAAGGGGGAAGAGGGCAGUUCGGGAACGGCACUAGAGAGCGGCUGUCCACGAGAGCGCCGGCGAGAGCUCGUUCCAGAAUGCAUGAAGAAUCAUCACUGAGAGAGAGUUCAGGUCCUGAGGUCAGGUCGAAGAGCUUCCUGAUGGAGCUGGAGGUCUGGUGGGUGAGCAGGGGUGAUGAGGGCAGAGAUCGGGACAUUGCUUCCAUCAGACGGAUGUCAGGCAGGCCCUCAGUCAUGGAAGUAGAGGAAUGGCAUAGUCCCCCUCAAAGGCACAGGCCCUGUCUAUACUGCCACCUACAGGAUCGGAGGACACAUAAGGUAAAGUAAGCAUGCACUUAAUGGGAACUGAACU
rnacentral:lncRNA from 1 species